rnacentral:rRNA from 1 species
CCUACGGGGGGCAGCAGUGAGGAAUAUUGGUCAAUGGGAGAGAUCCUGAACCAGCCAAGCCGCGUGAGGGAAGACGGCCCUAUGGGUUGUAAACCUCUUUUGUCGGAGAACAAAACCCGGGACGUGUCCCGGACUGCGUGUAUCCGAAGAAAAAGCAUCGGCUAACUCCGUGCCAGCAGCCGCGGUAAUAGGGGGGAUGCGAGCGUUAUCCGGAUUGAUUGGGGUAAAAGGGUGCGUGGGCGGUCCGUUAAGUCAGCGGUAAAAUUGCGGGGCUAAACCCCGGCGAGCCGUUGAAACUGGCAGACUUGAGUUGGCGAGAGGUACGCGGAAUGCGCGGUGUAGCGGUGAAAUGCAUAGAUAUCGCGCAGAACUCCGAUUGCGAAGGCAGCUUACCGGCGCCAGACUGACGCUGAGGAACGAAAGCGUGGGGAUCGAACAGGAUUAGAUACCCUUGUAGUC